AUGGUUGUCGUCAGCUCGUGUCGUGAGAUGUUGGGUUAAGUCCCGCAACGAGCGCAACCCUCGACCUUAGUUGCCAGCAUUCAGUUGGGCACUCUAAGGUGACUGCCGGCUAAAAGUCGGAGGAAGGUGGGGGAUGACGUCAAAUCAUCAUGCCCCUUAUGACCUGGGCUACACACGUGCUACAAUGGGCGGUACAAAGGGUCGCGAACCCGCGAGGGGGAGCCAAUCCCAAAAAGCCGCUCUCAGUUCGGAUUGCAGGCUGCAACUCGCCUGCAUGAAGCCGGAAUCGCUAGUAAUCGCGGAUCAGCAUGCCGCGGUGAAUACGUUCCCGGGCCUU
rnacentral:rRNA from 1 species